rnacentral:rRNA from 1 species
GAAAAGAAAGCAAAAGCGAUUCCCCAAGUAACGGCGAGUGAACAGGGAGAAGCCUAGCGCUAAGGCUUAAUGUGGUUGUCGCAAGGCAAUCGUUGAAAAGCAUUGAGCGGUGCAGCGUUACAAACUCUGAUGGAUAGUGGUGUCAAUGUGAUGUUGAGUGCUACACUCAGGUGUGGUUAUUGAGCAUUGCUUUCGGCCUAGCGUACAAGUCCCAUUGACUUGGGCUUAUUCUUAAUUGAGAUGUCUACGGGUUUGGGGCAACUUGGAUCCGUGGAUGAGCCAUAGAGGGUGAAAGUCCCUUAAUGCGCAGGUAUUGAUGCUACGAAUCGGAGCAGUGGUGUCUGGUAAAACAGGCGCUGCGAUUUGUUAGAGUCGGGUUGCUUGAGAGUGCAACCUAAAGAGCGAGGUAAACUGCUCGUAAGGCUAUUGUUAAAUACGGCUACGACACCGAUAGCAAACAAGUACCGUGAGGGAAAGUUGCAAAGUACUUUGAAGAGAGAGUUAAACAGGGCGUGAAACCGCUAGCUGGUAAACGAGUGGAGCCACGAAGUCGUUUCGUAGAAUACGAGGCGCAAAUUCAGCUGUGGUCCCUUGAAAGGGGGCUGUAGCGUAUUUUUGCUUGUCUCGCUACUGUAAGCGUACACUGCAACCAAUUAGACGGCCAAUCGUGGAAACAGUUUACAAGUUGACAGGGAAACUUGUUGCUUGUAAGCGACCAAAUUUGUGUAUCUACUGUGUAGGUAGCCUGUCUUUGUGCACAACACUUCGGUUUUGUGCACGAUUCUGGGUGUCUGACACAAGAUGCGUGAACUACGAUUGGGUACUGAUUGGCACAAUGAAAAUCGAAUCGCAAGAUUCGUAUGUCCAUAUAAAGCGGCUAGUAUCGUAUUUGGGUACAAUUGCGCGCUGCCAGUAUAAGCUUGAUAUUUUUGAAUUCAGGCACGUAUAUUGUUAGUGGGCUUGCUCGUUGACAUAUACGCUGUCUCCUGUCUAAUCGGCUAUUAACUUUGCUGGUAGUUUUGUGUAGUUGCUACGAUAGCACUGAAUACGAUAGCUAGUUUGCAA